UCACAGACCCUAAAUCUCUGGGCACUCUCCUUGGCUUGACAGAACCCUCCCUGUUUGCAGGGCACUGGCUGGGGCAGGUUCUGUUUGCAGCUUGGAAAAAGGACAGCUCAGACUGAGUCUGAUGGCUCCAGCAAAUGUGAAUCUUGGGCUGUCCAUGGGCAGAGUGGCUGCUUUGGCGGGGCUUGACAGCUGGCCUGCAAGCAAAGCUGAGUUAAUAGAAGAAAUAACAAUUGAUGAUUUUCGGUGUAUCCAUAGCAAGGAAGAAGACAAGGCCGUCAGCAUGGAAACCGAUUAGAAAAGAUACAUGAGAAUUUUUGUAAGCUAGACUACGUGCCUAAGUGGAUGUGUAUACGUGCCUUAUUAAAUUUCUGUUAAACUUUUGCCAAUUAUAUUGACACUGAUUGCUUGGCACCAAUGAAUAUAAAAAGUUAUUGUGAUGUAGUUAAUAACUUAAGAUCACGCUUUGUUAAGGGUGUAUGAACUGGAGAAGAUGCAGAAUAAAAACUUUUUUUCUUCCUGGACUUUGGUCACGUGUGUAUGUCACGUCUGGCCUAAAGGUGACAUUUGGUGCUACCCUGACCUGAUGGAACUGCCGGGCGAGGGGCAGUGAGCACAGAGCCCAGCGAAGCUGAGAGCAGCGGGGUGCAGCUGCCAGUCCAGACCUGAUUCUGACACCUGGAAAAAAGCCCUUCAAGGCCUGAGUGAAUACAACAGCCCCUCCUGCAUAAGCAUAUUUGUUCAGGUGAUGUUUGAGGGAAGAGCUGCAGAACGACUUUCAUCUGCUGGCUCAGAAGAACCAGUGUCUCUUUAAGACCUCCAGAUCCCUUGGAAAGUGAGACCACCUGGAGAGCAGAGGAGAUCAGCUGGAGCUCCAGGCACAGCUGAUGACUGGCACAGCUGAGCCUGUGGGAAGCUCUCAUAGCUCCUGCCUUCUCUCUUGCUGUUGACAGCCCUCAGAACCUGCCCAUUCCCUUUCUUCCCUCCCAGCUCAUCCCUUUGCUUUGCCUUCCAUUAAUAAACAGUUUGGCUUCUUUGCUUUACCUGCA